CGGAAGUGACGUCUUUGAAACCCAUGUAUUGUUCUUUUGGACUGUUCCAAUAAACCUGUUUUGAAGCAUUUUGCAUGGCUGCUGUUUUUGCUUCUUUUGUCUAAUUGUUACAUCCUACCCCAGUUGUGGGAUAGGUUGUAUCAAAGGCACACCAUGUAUAUGACAUUAACUCAUUAGGGCUGUGAUAUUUUUUUUUACAGAGGAUUGAAUUGGCGCCUUUUAUAGUAAACAAAUGUAGGUACUUUGUAUUAAAAAAGUUUGAGCACUCUACCUCAAAAAUUCAGUAAGUUUCAAAUACUGAAGCAAAAAGUGUUACAAUCAUACCCUACUCUUUAUAAACAUUGAAACUGGCAUGCUUUGCAUAAUUUUUUCAUAACAUGUGCUGUAGUUUAAUAUAGUGACUGUAGGUUGCGUGUAGACACGCUAUGUCAGUGUCAAAGCUGUUCUUAAGCAAAGGAGAAGACAUGGCUAAUUAUAGAAGGUCCUACAGAGAGAGAGGAAAGAUUAGCCAUGAUUAAAGCUUGUUCACAAAUACAGCGACAGGACAGACAGGUGAACAGCGGGUGUAAUGAGAGGACAGUAACGCUUAAAUGUUUAAAAAUUGGGCUUGAUGUUUAGACAGAAACACUGGUGCUCACUGACCAUCAAUCAAAAAAUUAGUGGAGACGAUACUGGGUUUCUCAGGGUUCAGUGGGGAGGUUGCGUAUUAUGAAGACGUGGUAAUGCCAAGAUCUGAAUCCACUGCAAUGGACAGCUCUUGUCAGGCCUUGUGCCGCACCUUAGUCUCUCAAAACGGCCUUCAGCCAGAGAACGUGGACAUUUCACAGUCUGUACUAUACACGUCCAUCAUGGGACUCCUACUGGUGACGGACAAAGAGAGAGAGCUGCAAUUGGGAAAUGGACAAGUUGGACUGCGUAACGUGGGAAAUACUUGUUUCCUCAAUGCCAUCGUGCAAUGUCUCUCCCACACUCGUAAUCUUCGGGACUACUGUCUGAUGAGAGCCUUCCUUCAGGACAAACACUCCAACCAAGAACCUGUGCUUAUGAAUGAAUUCUCCAAAGUUUUGUCUGGCCUGUGGGAAUGUGAUGGUGGGGAAACCACAGUGAAUCCUGGGAAGUUUUAUCGCGUCUUUAAAGAGUCUGUGCCUUACUUCAGUGGCUAUAGUCAGCAGGAUGCUCAGGAGUUCUUGCGGUUCCUCCUGGACAGGCUACAUACAGAAAUUAACCGUCGUCCAUCCAAACGUCCUGCAGUUAUUGAAAUUAAGGAACCAACAUACACCCGAUUCAGGAUUUCAGAGGAAGCCUUUGCAAUGUGGCAGAGGCAUCUUGACAGGGAUGACAGUAAAAUUGUUGAUUUGUUCUCUGGUCAGCUGCGCAGUUCCUUGCACUGUUCAGUCUGCUCCCAUUACUCCAACACCUUUGAUGUGUUUUGUGACCUGUCACUCCCCAUCCCAAAGAAGAAUGAUUAUGGCCGAACUGUCACUCUGAGAGAGUGUCUAGACCUCUUUUCCCAAGAGGAAAAACUUGAUAAAGAAAACUCGCCAAUGUGUGAGCGGUGUAACCGUCGCACUGAGAGCACAAAAAGACUGACCAUCCAGAGGUUUCCGAGAAUCCUGGUAAUACACUUAAAUCGAUUUACCAUGUCAAGGUACUCAAUCUCUAAAAGCACAGUGUCCGUUUCCUUCCCCCUGACCGGGCUGGAUUUAGGGCCAUUUGGACCUGUUGACUGUGGUGAGAACAAGAAUGAGUAUAAUGGCCAGUGCUGUAUGAUCUGUAUGCAGUGUGCAAUCAUUCGGGCACAGUAAAUAUGGGUCACUACACAGCCGCAUGUCGAGAGGAGGAGGGCUGGUGCUACUAUAAUGACUCAUGUGUUGAUGCAAUAUCAGAGGAGAAGCUUCAGUCCAAUCAGGCAUAUGUUCUCUUCUAUGAGCUCCAAAGCUGCAAUAUCACCAGAAAAUGAAGGCAGAGAAUGUAUGUUGCUAUGAGAGACUUCAAUGAUUAUUUGGCAAACUUCCACUGGAAAAAAGUUGCACUGUGAAAUGGGUUAAAAAGCUAAUGAGCAAGUCUGGUCAUUUUACUUCAUUGUUAAAUUUCAUUAUUAACGCCAUGUUAUUGAGGUAUUUUUUACUACUGUAAAUAAUGUUUGUAUUAACUUAUUAACUUAAUGUUCAUUCUUUUAGACAAAAAAAAUAUAUGUUAUAAAAAAAUCUGUAGAUAUGUAUGGACUUAUUGUUUGCAUCAAAAUUGUUUUUGUUUUCAUUUUCUUGCGUGUUCUUAUUCUGCAGUUAAAAUCUGAAUUUUGUUGCAAUGUUGUUUAAUUACGAAUGUAAAAGCAGGGCUAAACUAAACAAGGGAUUUGUCUGGCUUAACAUAUAUGAGGACUUCCAUCAUAUAAAAGCUCUUAUGCUUCUUGUGAUUCAUGCAAUGACAUGUAAAAUACUGUGCCAUAAAUGAAUUCCUCCAAUUUAGGUUUAGUCUAGAGGUGACCUCAGCUUGACUAUAGCUAUGUAUUAGAUAUAGUUUUAAACUUAUUUUGAUUUAACAUAUAUUCACUAUAUAUAUGUGUUAAAAACCUUUAAUGUUUGUUUUAGUUUAAAUGUAUAAGAGUUAGUAUAGAGAGUAUUUUACUGCAGGCCACCCACACAUAAUUUAAUAAAUUAAUAUUUUAUA